rnacentral:lncRNA from 1 species
GGCCACCUUCAGCUGCAAGUGGAAAUCCCAACCCACAGGACUUGAGGCAAAAUCAUAACGUAUCCGUUUAUGUACCGGAAAAGUCUUAGGUAAGUCAGCUUCAGACACAGCUGGAUCCAGGAGCUCAAAACGAUCGCCCUGGCUCAACCAAACUUUCUUCUGCAGAGCUCCAUCUCAGCCAGCCCCUUCCCCUGGGGACCCAGUGACCUCAGCAAGCCCCAGAAACUGCAGACAGGAAUCAGAAAAUCCCAACAGCUCCAGGAAAAUAAGACAACAACCCGGCGUCUCCUUGUCAUUGGACAGACUGGUAUUACGCGUCACUUAGGAAGCAGUCACUGUGACCAGAAAGGGUAGACUGUCCACAGGCCAGGAUGGGCCAUGUGACCACUCCUGGUGAUGGGGGUGGACGAGGGAUGGAAGAGAAAAUGGCAGUUUAUUUCACAAACUCACUGAGCAACUGCUGUGUACCUGGCCCUGUUCUGGCAGAAAACAGGGCAGAAUCAGCCCCUUUCCCGACAGGCUGACACCUGGGUGGACCCCGGAAUAGCAAAGCUACAGAGACACAAGGCGAGGGGC